rnacentral:misc_RNA from 1 species
GAUGAAGAACGCAGCGAAAUGCGAUAAGUAAUGUGAAUUGCAGAAUUCAGUGAAUCAUCGAGUCUUUGAACGCACAUUGCGCCCCCUGGUAUUCCGGGGGGCAUGCCUGUCCGAGCGUCAUUGCCGCCCUCAAGCACGGCUUGUGUGUUGGGCCCCCGCCCCCCGGCUUCGGGGGGCGGGCCCGAAAGGCAGCGGCGGCACCGCGUCCGGUCCUCGAGCGUAUGGGGCUUCGUCACCCGCUCUGUAGGCCCGGCCGGCGCCCGCCGGCGACCCCAAUCAAUCUUUCCAGGUUGACCUCGGAUCAGGUAGGGAUACCCGCUGAACUUAAGCAUAUCAUAACGGAGGA